CCUCCUCUCGCCAUCACCAACCUUUCGCCUAAUAAACCAAGGUCUUUUAGCCACCAGAGAGCAUUUUUGACGAGCUCCAUAGAUCGCCGCUGACAUUGCUCAUCGCCCACCCAGCCAGAGCCUUGCCGACGAUGGCGUGACCCCUGGAUGAGUUGGUGGUGGUCUGCUGGUGCUACUCCACCGCUCAUCAGUGUUAUUGGAACAUGACAACGAGGUUCCGACGAAGUCCGACAAGUGCAUCGCCGCGGGAGCUUCUGCACCGCCGUCUACCGCGUUGGAGCUGAACGAGAUGCCAAUAUUCCAAAGGAGCUACAAGAACUUAAGGACCAAGACUUCGAAGACCUAACUGAGUAUUCUAAAGAUAGCCUCAGAUCUCAAUGAAGUGCACUACUCCAACGGAUUGCGCAAUGGGAUUCUACCAAGGAUGCUUUGGUCCAUGCUUUCAGAUAUGGGACAUCAAAAGAAACCAUUGUACCAGGGAACAAGACAAGCAAAUGGUACGGAGUGGAGUCUCACCAUCUUCAUCUAUGGAAGUCGUGCCCAGAAAGGAGAAUUCCGAGUUGCUCGCACGUACUUGACGGAGAUAAGAAGGGAUAUCUUUGAAGAAGGCAUACAGUAUGUUGCACGCCAAGCUCUCUACUGUGUGUGCCUGGACUAUGGACCGCAUAUCAAGGACUCACUAUACCACUACAUCCCUAUCCGUCUCCUUGCAAGCCCGGAGAUAGUCGUCCAAUGCUACUACAAUGAAGCAAGUGUCACACUUCAGUUGCAAGUUCAACUCACCAUUACCAUGGACGAACUCUAUAA